rnacentral:rRNA from 1 species
AGUGGCGCAGCUAACGCACUAAGUUGACCGCCUGGGGAGUACGGCCGCAAGGUUAAAACUCAAAUGAAUUGACGGGGGCCCGCACAAGCGGUGGAGCAUGUGGUUUAAUUCGACGCAACGCGAAGAACCUUACCUGGCCUUGACAUGCAGAGAACUUUCCAGAGAUGGAUUGGUGCCUUCGGGAACUCUGACACAGGUGCUGCAUGGCCGUCGUCAGCUCGUGUCGUGAGAUGUUGGGUUAAGUCCCGUAACGAGCGCAACCCCUAUCCCUAGUUGCUAGCAGUUCGGCUGAGAACUCUAGGGAGACUGCCGGUGACAAACCGGAGGAAGGUGGGGAUGACGUCAGGUCAUCAUGGCCCUUACGGCCAGGGCUACACACGUGCUACAAUGGUGCGUACAGAGGGCUGCAAACCCGCGAGGGGGAGCUAAUCUCACAAAACGCAUCGUAGUCCGGAUCGGAGUCUGCAACUCGACUCCGUGAAGUCGGAAUCGCUAGUAAUCGCGAAUCAGAAUGUCGCGGUGAAUACGUUCCCGGGCCUUGUACACACCGCCCGUCACACCAUGGGAGUGGAUUGCACCAGAAGUGGUUAGUCUAACCUUCCGGGAGGA